CAGUCGCCGCGGGAAUACGUAGGGUGCAAGCGUUAAUCGGAAUUACUGGGCGUAAAGCGUGCGCAGGCGGUUUGUUAAGACAGAUGUGAAAUCCCCGGGCUCAACCUGGGAACUGCAUUUGUGACUGGCAGGCUAGAGUAUGGCAGAGGGGGGUGGAAUUCCGCGUGUAGCAGUGAAAUGCGUAGAUAUGCGGAGGAACACCGAUGGCGAAGGCAGCCCCCUGGGCCAAUACUGACGCUCAUGCACGAAAGCGUGGGGAGCAAACAGGAUUAGAUACCCCCGUAGUCCCUGUCUCUUAUAA
rnacentral:rRNA from 1 species